CCGUCUGGGUCCUGUAUGUGUGCGUGCGACGCUAGUUUACAUGUGUGCAGACCAAGCGUUGUGUCUACACUACACAUCCCUACAGUACAGACGCCGCGCCGCGCACAUCUAGCCAGUCUCGUUACGGACCAUGCGCGGUACAGACGUGUGUCGUAAUUUCACAAAUAUUAAAGUAAUUGUUGAGUAAAAAGAUCCAGAAUUUUAGAUCUCCCUGCCUCGUCCGAGAUGACCUCGAGAAUCUUCCACAAAAGCGGUAUCAGGGAGGCGCGGAGUGUAAUUAAAGUUGCUGCAGUGCUGACUGUAUACCUCACGGGUGGCCGGUAG